rnacentral:rRNA from 1 species
GACGAACGCUGGCGGCGUGCUUAACACAUGCAAGUCGAACGAAGAGCGAUGGAAGCUUGCUUCUAUCAAUCUUAGUGGCGAACGGGUGAGUAACGCGUAAUCAACCUGCCCUUCAGAGGGGGACAACAGUUGGAAACGACUGCUAAUACCGCAUACGAUCUAAUCUCGGCAUCGAGGAUAGAUGAAAGGUGGCCUCUACAUGUAAGCUAUCACUGAAGGAGGGGAUUGCGUCUGAUUAGCUAGUUGGAGGGGUAACGGCCCACCAAGGCGAUGAUCAGUAGCCGGUCUGAGAGGAUGAACGGCCACAUUGGGACUGGGACACGGCCCAGACUCCUACGGGAGGCAGCAGUGGGGAAUCUUCCGCAAUGGACGAAAGUCUGACGGAGCAACGCCGCGUGAGUGCUGACGGCCUUCGGGUUGUAAAGCUCUGUUAAUCGGGACGAAAGGCCUUCUUGCGAAUAGUGAGAAGGAUUGACGGUACCGGAAUAGAAAGCCACGGCUAACUACGUG